rnacentral:rRNA from 1 species
UACGGGGGGGCAAGCGUUGUUCGGAAUUACUGGGCGUAAAGGGCUCGUAGGCGGCCAACUAAGUCGGAUGUGAAAUCCCCAAGCUUAACUUGGGAACUGCAUCCGAUACUGGAUGGCUUGAAUCCGGGAGAGGGAUGCAGAAUUCCAGGUGUAGCGGUGAAAUGCGUAGAUAUCAGGAAGAACACCCGUGGCGAAGGCGGCUCUCUGGGACGUGACUGACGCUGAGACGCGAAAGCGUGGGGAGCGAACAGG